UACUCGAGUGGCGAACGGGUGAGUAACACGUGGGUGAUCUGCCCUGCACUUCGGGAUAAGCCCGGGAAACUGGGUCUAAUACCGGAUAGGACGAUGGUUUGGAUGCCAUUGUGGAAAGUUUUUCGGUGUGGGAUGAGCUCGCGGCCUAUCAGCUUGUUGGUGGGGUAAUGGCCUACCAAGGCGUCGACGGGUAGCCGGCCUGAGAGGGUGUACGGCCACAUUGGGACUGAGAUACGGCCCAG
rnacentral:rRNA from 1 species